CCCUUUCAUGUACUGAGCCUCUACGUGGCGAAAGGUAUCAACAGACGAGACAUCGUCUGGCUAAUCAGUA
rnacentral:ribozyme from 1 species